rnacentral:rRNA from 1 species
CCCUUAGAUGUCCUGGGCCGCACGCGCGCUACACUGAUGCAUGCAACGAGUUUAUAACCUUGGCCUGAAAGGUCUGGGUAAUCUUUUGAACGUGCAUCGUGAUAGGGAUAGAUUAUUGCAAUUGUUAAUCUUGAACGAGGAAUUCCUAGUAAACGCGAGUCAUCAGCUCGCAUUGAUUACGUCCCUGCCCUUUGUACACACCGCCCGUCGCACCUACCGAUUGAAUGGUUCGGUGAAGAUCUCGGACUUCGAUACUUAUUCUUUAUUGAGUUUAUAUUGUGGGAAGUUAUCUAAACCUCAUCAUUUAGAGGAAGGUGAAGUCGUAACA